UACAUGGGGUGCAAACGUUGCUCGGAAUUAUUGGGCGUAAAGAGCUUGUAGGCGGUUUGUCGCGUCUGCUGUGAAAUUUCGGGGCUCAACCCCGAACUUGCAGUGGGUACGGGCAGACUAGAGUGUGGUAGGGGAGACUGGAAUUCCUGGUGUAGCGGUGAAAUGCGCAGAUAUCAGGAGGAACACCGAUGGCGAAGGCAGGUCUCUGGGCCACUACUGACGCUGAGAAGCGAAAGCAUGGGGAGCGAACAGG
rnacentral:rRNA from 1 species